rnacentral:lncRNA from 1 species
CAAAAGAGGGAAGCAAUUGAAAACCUUUUUCAAGGGGUCAGUAUUAAAAAAAUGGGGCAAUUGCUUAUAUAUAUUCCUAAAAAGUUUCCGACUUUAUGAUUUACCCCUCUUAGAAGGCUAAUAUUGAAAAUAUUUUUUUACGCUCCAACCUAUUUCUAAUGUACCCCCAGAGUUAAAAUCUGUUAAUAAACUCUGUUAUCCCUAUUAAAUUACUAUUUUGCCCUUUCAAAUAUACCCUUCUACCAUCAACCGACUUUUCUUAUUUGCCCUUAUGUUAGGGAUACAAAAAGUAUUUUGCUUUUUGAUCUUUUCAAAUAUACCCUUCUACCAUCACCAAUAUUUCUUCUUUGCCCUUAAGUUAUGGGCAAAAGUGUCAUUUUAAUUUUUUUUAACUGUGGUAGAUAUUUAACUCACGCUUAAUCUAAGUUAACUUAACAGGUGGUAACUGCAGGGUUAUUUUGGAAUAACGGAAGAAUAUAUGAAGGGCAUAUUGGAAAGAAAAAAAAAAAGGAUAAAUGAAACAUUUCAUAAGUUUUAAGAGGUAUAUAGACAAUUAUCCCUUAGUUAUUUGCACUCGCUAAAAUUAGUUUAGUUGAUUAAAUUAAAAAUUUUGUUAA